GUUGGUCACCGUGCGGAUGACGUGGGUAGACAUCCUCGCUCGCCCGCCCUGCACGAACAGCACCGAGAUGGAGGGGUAGUUGAGGUUGCCGGCGUGGCCCGCCCGCCUCGCGCCCCCGCAAUCCGCCGCCCGCCGCGUGAUCGCGCGGAUGUUCUGUUGCGUGUAGUUGAGGUUGCAGAGGAAGGCAACGUAGUCGCCGGCGGCGGAGUCGUAGACGAGCCCCGGGUCCAUGGCCUUCUGGGGGUCGACGUGCCCGGCGCCCAAGUCCAUCACCGUAGAGGUGUUGCCGGUGGACUCAUCCAGCAUCGUCUGGCCCCG
rnacentral:lncRNA from 1 species